rfam:Tauraco erythrolophus contig13734, whole genome shotgun sequence.
CCAAAGGCUCUUUUCAGAGCCACCCACAAACUCGUAAGAGAGCUC